rnacentral:lncRNA from 1 species
UGAUCGAUAUGAGAUCGAUCUACUUAAUUUGCUUCAACAAAUCUCGCUCGCUGCUCCGACUCCGAUCCUCUCACGUACUACACGGCGCAAUACACAGCCCUGCAAACAACAAUUAAAUUGAAUAGAAUUAAAUUAAACCCAUCUCAACCAAAUCAGCAACCAGCGAUACAUGCAUAUACAUAUAUGUCAGUUCCAGCUUAGGGCAUGUACAAUGGUGGUUAAUAACGAGCUCUUUUCGUUGUCAUGCAAAUAAAUUUGAUGACGUGGAAGAAAAAGAGGGAAGAAAAGAGAAAUAUCGCUGUUACGCAUGACAACGGAUUAGAGUCGACUCUUAUUAUUUAUUAACGGAAAAUUUAUUGCAAUGAGGAUAGAGAAAAGGAAAGAAGUAUAAUAAAAAAUUAUUUAGUGUAUUAAUGGUUUAGAAAUCUUAUUGUCUUUACUACUGUAGGAGGAUAGUCUCUAAUAAUAUUAAUUAAUAUAGAUAGCUCGUAUUAGACUCUACCUUUGUAGAUGCCCUUAGGGUGUAUUUAGUUCACAUCAAAAUUGGAAGUUUUGUUAAAAUUGAAACGAUGUGAUGGAAAAGUUAGAAGUUUGUGUGUAGAAAAGUUUUGAUGUGAUGGAAAAGUUGAAAGUUUGAAGAAAAACUUCAAAUCUAAACUUGGGCUUAAUUCAGUAUGUGCUAAACUGAAUCUCUCAACUCGAGUAGUAGUAGGACUAUAUUUGUACAGACUACAGAGCACAUGGGCUGAGUGAGAGAAGGCUACUUGCAAUAAACACAAAAAUUGAUAUAGGGCUUGUUUGAAUCAAUCUUGGCACUACUAAAAUGAUGCUACCUAAUUUGUUGAAUGACAUAUAUGUGAAACGUACACCAUGUGUUGCACGUACCUGAUCGAUCGAUCGAUCGAUCUGACGAAACGGAGAGAUCGGUCGAGGAGCCGCGCUGAAUCGCUCGCCGAUCGACUUAAUUGAGUACUAAUGAGAGCGAUUUAGGUAGGUGGAGGCGUGGAGCAAAGCAAGUGAAAUGGCUGUGUGCAGGAUGGAAAUGGGGGCGGUGUGUGUGCGGGGGUUAAGUAGCGGAAGACGAUCGACGAGCGAGGAGAACCUGAUUCUGAUCUGGCAGCGAAAACUACUCGUACCGAUCGCCGCCUGGCACGCAGACGCAGACGCAGGUGGC